AGGAAUGUAUAGCGAUAGCUACUUGUAUCAUGAUGCAAGCUCGACUAUGUUGAAUUUCUAGGUAGAAUUAUGAUAAUGACAUUGUCUGCCUAUGUGUCUUGACCAAAUUACGUGCCAGCAGUCGCGGUAAUACGUAGAAGACUAGUGUUAUUCAUGUUUAAUCGGUUUAAAGGGUACCUAGACGGUGAAUCAAGCUUUUAAAUAAAUAAGAAAAGGGACUAAUUCGCUAGAGUUACUUACGAGGGGGUUUUAAAGUACUGCUGGUGUAGAGAUGAAAUUCUGUCAUACCUCUUUUCGAAAGAAGAAUAACGGCACAGGUAUAGGCGAAGGCAUCCCCUUAUGUGAUAACUGACGUUGAGGGACGAAGGCUUCGUGGAACAAACAGGAUUAGGUACCCUAGUAGUUGAAGCAGAAAAUGAUGAAUGUCAUAGAUUAGACGUCUAAGUUUAUUCUAUAAAUGAAAGUGUAAGCAUUCCACCUCAGGAGUAAUUUGGCAACAUUGGAAUUGAAAUCAUUAGACCGUUUCUGAAACCAGUAGUGAAGUAUGUUGUUUAAUUUGAUGAUCCGCAAAAAACCUUACCACAAUUUGAAUAUUUAUACCAAACAUAUAUCUACAAGCGUUGCACGGCUGUCUUCAGUUAAUGUCGUGAGACUGGUUAGUUCCAUUAAAUUAACGUAAACCCUUACUUUAUUUUUUAUAUAGAGUAGUUCCCCGCUAGAUUGGAUAUGAU
rnacentral:rRNA from 1 species